ACACACUGGAUGAAUGUAUGGAUUGUGAUAUGAGAUGUAAGAGCCCCCAAUAAAAGCAUUUAAUACACAUUUUAGAAAUUUAUGUGCUGACCCCUGCGAUUUCCCCAAAUGUGGGAAACACAACUGCAUAAUUUGUGGUAGAGGGGGACUGCAUUCGCGCUCCCCCCUA